UCUUCGAUAGCUCAGUGGUAGAGCAAUCGGCUGUUAACCGAUUGGUCGUAGGUUCAAAUCCUACUCGAAGAG
rnacentral:tRNA from 1 species